rnacentral:lncRNA from 1 species
UUUUUUUUUUUUUUUUUUUUUUUUUUUUUUUUUUGCAGCUCUUUCAUGCCCUGAGUCUUUUACUACAAUAAAAAUCUUUGUAAAUUUCUUUCCCUUAUCGCAGGCUGCCAUUUAUAACCUUUCCACUACACUCUAUUGUCUUUUUAGUCUCUCUUCCCCUUUUCAGUUCUAAGCCUACACAUAAUUCUGUCUUUCUGGUGCUACUGCUAUUUCUCUAUUCUUAACCACACCUAAUUUAUACUGACAGCAUUCGUAUGAAAAGUUACACACGCCACACAUCUCUGCCAUCCUUCAGUUUAUGCCUGACUCUAUCCUGGAGAAAGGAUUUAUUUAUUUUCCCAUGGGCAGCCCUAUUUUUUGGAAGAUAACCUCGUACUUGACAGAACACUUCAAGGAGCUCACGAUCCCAAGAGACAAGCCAACAAAUAAAUACACAGUGGCAGAGGGGGUGACUGGAAGAACUUGGGACUGAAGCCAAAGGAGGGUGAACGAGAGGGGCCAGG